rnacentral:rRNA from 1 species
GACGAACGCUGGCGGCGUGCUUAACACAUGCAAGUCGAACGGAAAGGCCCUGCUUUUGUGGGGUGCUCGAGUGGCGAACGGGUGAGUAACACGUGAGUAACCUGCCCUUGACUUUGGGAUAACUUCAGGAAACUGGGGCUAAUACCGGAUAGGAGCUCCUGCUGCAUGGUGGGGGUUGGAAAGUUUCGGCGGUUGGGGAUGGACUCGCGGCUUAUCAGCUUGUUGGUGGGGUAGUGGCUUACCAAGGCUUUGACGGGUAGCCGGCCUGAGAGGGUUACCGGCCACAUUGGGACUGAGAUACGGCCCAGACUCCUACGGGAGGCAGCAGUGGGGAAUAUUGCACAAUGGGCGGAAGCCUGAUGCAGAAACGCCGCGUGCGGGAUGACGGCCUUCGGGUUGUAAACCGCUUUCGCCUGUGACGAAGCGUGAGUGACGGUAAUGGGUAAAGAAGCACCGGCUAACUACGUG